AUCCUCGGGAGGCAUCAGUGGGGAAUUUUCCGCAAUGGGCGAAAGCCUGACGGAGCAACGCCGCGUGAGGGAUGAAGGCCUCUGGGCUGUAAACCUCUUUUAUCAAGGAAGAAGAUCUGACGGUACUUGAUGAAUAAGCCACGGCUAAUUCCGUGCCAGCAGCCGCGGUAAUAC
rnacentral:rRNA from 1 species